UUGGAGGGCAAGUCUGGUGCCAGCAGCCGCGGUAAUUCCAGCUCCAAUAGCGUAUAUUAAAGUUGUUGCAGUUAAAAAGCUCGUAGUUGAAUUUCGGGAUCGACGGGUCGGUCGCGCCUCUGGUGUGUACUGGCCCUGUCGGUUUCUCCCUUCUGACGAACCACGAUGUCAUUAAUUUGGUGUCGUGGGGAACCAGGACUGUUACUUUGAAAAAAUUAGAGUGUUUAAAGCAAGCAUCACCUGAAUACAUUAGCAUGGAAUAAUGAAAUAGGACGUUUGAUCUUAUUUUGUUGGUUUCUAAGAUCGACGCAAUGAUUAAUAGGGAUAGUUGGGGGCAUUAGUAUUCAAUUGUCAGAGGUGAAAUUCUUGGAUUUAUUGAAGACUAACUACUGCGAAAGCAUUUGCCAAGGAUGUUUUCAUUAAUCAAGGACGAAAGUUAGGGGAUCGAAGACGAUCAGAUACCGUCGUAGUCUUAACCAUAAACUAUGCCGACUAGGGAUCGGAUGAUGUUAAUUUUUUAAAGACUCAUUCGGCACCUUACGGGAAAC
rnacentral:rRNA from 1 species